GUCAGCAGCAGAGAUCUGUGGCACGCCACCCCGCUGCCAAGCUGAUACCCAGAAAGCCACGGAGCAAUCUUCCUCUUUGUUUUACAAAUAGGUACAGCCUUUUGAAGCAGGAUCGGUUGUAACAUAUUUAUUGCAAGAAUGAAAGACAAAAACCAGAAGUCUUUGCCAAGAGCAAGUGAAAUGGGCAUGCCUUUCAAACAGCUACCACAGGACCGAUUACCUUUCCAAGUAAUUAAACAUUGUGAAAGGUUAUUAACGUGCUGAUAAUAGACAGCUUUGCAAACUGCCAGCACAGCACGAUCUAGCAGACGGCGCUCAGCAGAGAGCUGGAGCCCUCGCUCCCUGGGGGGCUUGGCAGAGCCCCAGCACCCCGAGAGCUGCAUGUAACUCAGUCAGGCCGGGCUGGACGCAGCCACCCCAGACCCACGUCUGAACGGUGGCAGGGCUCUCCCUUGCUGGCAGAGGAGCAGGGAAAGGUGGUCUCUGGGCAUCCUCCCAGUGCUCCCCCCAGGCAAAGCAGCAGGUGUCUGCCAAAGCCCGGGCCUGCCCAUGCAGGUUACCAACUAUUGUUUCUCUUCAAACCAACUUGCGUCCACAAACAACCUCUCCUGAUGUGAAUUCUCUGGUAUUUUAGCGUGUGUUAUUAAACCCGCUUGGAAAGCGGGCUGAGCUGUAGGGUGGGUUUGUGGCAACCAAGCAGGUGGGGAUGUAUGCGGGGAUGCAGAUAGGGAUGCAAGUAAGGAUGCGGGAUGCGGGAAGGAAUGCAGGCGAGGAUACAGACAGGGGUGUAAGAUGCAGGCAGGGAUGCAGGAUGCAGGCAGGAUGCAGCUGGGGAUGCAGGACACGGGCAGGGGUGCAAGCAGGAUGCAGGUGGGGAUGUGGGAUGCAGGCAGGACGCAGGCAGCACAGAGCCGGUGCCUUUAGUGAGUGCUGCGGCUGCUGAGCCAAGGAGGAGUGGAGGGAAAGGGAGAGGCGACAAGAGUGUUUUGUCUGCAUCAACUCCUGGGCAGGGGGAAGGUGCGUGGGUAAACAGCGGUGCCGCUGACUCCAGCAUGGAGCUGCCUGACAGGGACAGCCCUUGUCCAAAGCAGCCACCUCCUGGUCAUCCCCUCAGACCACAGACGGAACAGCUCCGCUCUCCACAUUUCCAUACAUAGCAGCGAGGGGAAGAAGGCGACGGAAAAGCGCGGGUUGUGGUGGAAAGAUGGAAUAACAUCCUGGGCGAGAGCAUCCUUGGAACUCUCAGAGCUGCCUGGCACCAGGCGCGCUCAGGAUGUUUUGCUGCGCUCGGUGUUGUCGGUGUCACAACUCCGCAUCGCUUUAAAGGAACUUCAGCUGCCUUUGCACGUGGCUCGGGUGCACCCCGAGCUUCCAGGCCACCCCCUGCUCCCCACAACGCCGGGAGCCGGGCGGGAGGGUCACUAUGGGACCCCCUGACAAAGGGGCAUCCGAGGAAUACCGCACAGCGACAGUCUCCGCCUCCCGUCCCGGAGCUGUGCGGCGGGCUGACGGCCGCCGGAGGGCCAUCGUUGCCGCAGCACGCGGGGGAGCUCACGCGUUCCCGCCGUCGCUCUCACGUCGGGCCCCGGGGCCGCUCUCCGUUUGCCCGGGGUUGGGGCAGGGACGGGCCGGGCACAGGACAAGCCCUCGCUUGUUCCGUUGGGCGCGGGGAGCGCCGUUGCACAACGGAAUUCGUAUCUUACGUGUUUAGGGGACGGUGCGCGGCUGCGGCGGAACCCGCGGGUCGCCGAACGCCCGGUGCCGGUGGGCGCGCGGCGUUGGAGGGCGCUGCCCCUUUAAAUCGCGGCGGCGCGGAGCAGGGAAUCCCUCUCGCGGCGCGUCAUCCGCGGCGAGGAAACCCGCGCUGGCGUAGUGCGACGCAAAUGCCCAUUUUUGGCAACGUGCGCCAGUGGACGGCACCAAGAGGCUCCGGCCGGGCGGGG
ensembl:lncRNA